AGGAUGCUGGAAUGCACUUAGUCUGAAAACUCCGGUGCCUAAGGAUGAAUCUGCGGACUAUCAGGUUGUAGUCAGGGUAAUGACCUGACUAGCCUAUGACGGAUAUGGGUUGUGGGAGCAAUAACCCAGAGAUGAUAUCUGAGACACGAUAUCAGGCCCUACGGGGCGCAGCAGGCGCGAAAACUUCGCAAUGUGCGAAAGCACGACGAGGGAAUCCCAAGUGCUUGCACGUAAGUGUAAGCUGUUUCUCUGUUUAAAACGCAGAGAGAGUAAGGGCUGGGUAAGACGGGUGCCAGCCGCCGCGGUAAUACCUGCAGCUCAAGUGGUGGCCGUUAUUAUUGGGCCUAAAACGUCCGUAGCCGGUUUAUUAAAUGCCUGGGUAAAUCGGACCGCUUAACGGUUCGAAUUCCGGGUAGACUGAUAAACUUGAGACCGGGAGAAGUUAGAGGUACUCCUGGGGUAGAGGUGAAAUUCUGUAAUCCUAGGGGGACCACCAGUGGCGAAAGCGUCUAACUAGAACGGGUCUGACGGUGAGGGACGAAGCCCUGGGGCGCAAACGGGAUUAGAUACCCCGGUAGUCCAGGGUGUAAACGCUGCUUGCUUGAUGUUAGUCGGGCUCCGAGCCCGAUUAGUGUCGGAGAGAAGUUGUUAAGCAAGCUGCCUGGGAAGUACGGUCGCAA
rnacentral:rRNA from 1 species